GUCUACGGCCAUGCCAUCCUGAGCAAGCCCUAUCCUGUCUGAUCUCCGAAGUUAAGCAGGGUCAGGCCCGGUUAGUACUUGGAUGGGAGACCACCUAUGAAUCCCAGUUGCCAUAGGUG
rnacentral:rRNA from 1 species